AGUGAGUGGUGAGUGAGUGGUGAGUGAGUGGUGAGUGAGUGGUGAGAAUUCGUCUAUCAGCUGCAGCCGGCCGAGAGGAAGCAACUUCGACAUCAGCUGGGCAGCUUUGAGCAGAUAGCCGUUCAGCAAGCUCAGCUUGAACCGCAGCCUCCAACCAGCGAUCAACUUAAAUACGUGAUGCUCCACAAUGCGGUUCCCUUUGUGGGGUUCGGAUUCCUGGACAACGCCAUCAUGAUCAGCGCUGUGAGUCUCUGUCUGUGUCUGUCUGUGUCU